rnacentral:rRNA from 1 species
AACCUCCGCAAUGUGAGAAAUCGCGACGGGGGGAUCCCAAGUGCCAUUCUUAACGGGAUGGCUUUUCAUUAGUGUAAAGAGCUUUUGGAAUAAGGGCUGGGCAAGACCGGUGCCAGCCGCCGCGGUAACACCGGCAGCUCUAGUGGUAGCAGUUUUUAUUGGGCCUAAAGCGUCCGUAGCCGGUUUAAUAAGUCUCUGGUGAAAUCCUGUAGCUUAACUGUGGGAAUUGCUGGAGAUACUAUUAGACUUGAGACCGGGAGAGGUUAGAGGUACUCCCAGGGUAGAGGUGAAAUUCUGUAAUCCUGGGAGGACCGCCUGUUGCGAAGGCGUCUAACUGGAACGGUUCUGACGGUGAGGGACGAAAGUUAGGGGCGCGAACCGGAUUAGAUACCCGGGUAGUCCUAACCGUAAACGAUGCGGACUUGGUGUUGGGGUGGCUUUGAGCUGCUCCAGUGCCGAAGGGAAGCUGUUAAGUCCGCCGCCUGGGAAGUACGGUAGCAAGACUGAAACUUAAAGGAAUU